rnacentral:rRNA from 1 species
AAACUGUUUUUCUUGAGUAGUGCAGAGGUAGGCGGAAUUCCCGGUGUAGCGGUGGAAUGCGUAGAUAUCGGGAGGAACACCAGUGGCGAAGGCGGCCUACUGGGCACCAACUGACGCUGAGGCUCGAAAGUGUGGGUAGCAAACAGGAUUAGAUACCCUGGUAGUCCACACCGUAAACGAUGAUUACUAGGUGUUGGAGGAUUGACCCCUUCAGUGCCGCAGUUAACACAAUAAGUAAUCCACCUGGGGAGUACGACCGCAAGGUUGAAACUCAAAGGAAUUGACGGGGGCCCGCACAAGCAGUGGAGUAUGUGGUUUAAUUCGAAGCAACGCGAAGAACCUUACCAGGUCUUGACAUCCGAUGCAUAGCUUAGAGAUAUGUGAAGUCCUUCGGGACAUCGAGACAGGUGGUGCAUGGUUGUCGUCAGCUCGUGUCGUGAGAUGUUGGGUUAAGUCCCGCAACGAGCGCAACCCUUAUUGUUAGUUGCUACGCAAGAGCACUCUAGCGAGACUGCCGUUGACAAAACGGAGGAAGGUGGGGACGACGUCAAAUCAUCAUGCCCCUUAUGACCUGGGCUACACACGUACUACAAUGGAUGUAAACAGAGGGAAGCAAAAUAGCGAUAUGGAGCAAACCCCUAAAAGCAUUCUCAGUUCAGAUUGCAGGCUGCAACUCGCCUGUAUGAAGUUGGAAUUGCUAGUAAUCGCGGAUCAGCAUGCCGCGGUGAAUACGUUCCCGGGCCUUGUACACACCGCCCGUCACACCAUGGGAGUUGGGAGUGCCCAAAGCCGGUGAGGCAACCGCAAGGAGCCAGCCGUCUAAGGCAAGACCAAUGACUGGGGUGAAGUCGUAACAAGGUAGCCGUAUCGGAAGGUGCGGCUG